rnacentral:rRNA from 1 species
GAUGAACGCUGGCGGCGUGCCUAAUACAUGCAAGUCGAGCGAACCACUUCGGUGGUGAGCGGCGAACGGGUGAGUAACACGUAGGUGAUCUGCCCAUCAGACGGGGACAACGAUUGGAAACGAUCGCUAAUACCGGAUAGGACGAAAGUUUAAAGGUGCUCCUGGCACCGCUGAUGGAUGAGCCUGCGGCGCAUUAGCUAGUUGGUAGGGUAAAGGCCUACCAAGGCGACGAUGCGUAGCCGACCUGAGAGGGUGAACGGCCACACUGGGACUGAGACACGGCCCAG